AACCCACGGUGAGGGCACUUUCUCAACAGAUCCUUGUAUCUCUCCCAUACAUCGUAGAGUGUUUCUAAAUCCAUCUGCACAAAAUAAGAGAUAUCAUUACGUAAUUU
rnacentral:snoRNA from 1 species